GUGGGGAAUUUUGGACAAUGGGGGCAACCCUGAUCCAGCCAUCCCGCGUGUGCGAUGAAGGCCUUCGGGUUGUAAAGCACUUUUGGCAGGGAAGAAAAGUUUCGGGCUAAUACCCUGGAGCGAUGACGGUACCUGCAGAAUAAGCACCGGCUAACUACGUGCCAGCAGCCGCGGUAAUACGUAGGGUGCAAGCGUUAAUCGGAAUUACUGGGCGUAAAGCGUGCGCAGGCGGUUCGGAAAGAAAGAUGUGAAAUCCCAGGGCUUAACCUUGGAACUGCAUUUUUAACUGUCGAACUCGAGUAUGUCAGAGGGGGGUAGAAUUCCACGUGUAGCAGUGAAAUGCGUAGAGAUGUGGAGGAAUACCGAUGGCGAAGGCAGCCCCCUGGGAUAAUACUGACGCUCAUGCACGAAAGCGUGGGGAGCAAACAGGAUUAGAAACCCGGGUAGUCC
rnacentral:rRNA from 1 species